rnacentral:rRNA from 1 species
AUACGUAGGGAGCGAGCGUUGUCCGGAAUUACUGGGUGUAAAGGGUGCGUAGGCGGGGAUGCAAGUCAGAUGUGAAAUGUAUGGGCUCAACCCAUGAACUGCAUUUGAAACUGCAACUCUUGAGUGAGGUAGAGGUAAGCGGAAUUCCUAGUGUAGCGGUGAAAUGCGUAGAUAUUAGGAGGAACAUCGGUGGCGAAGGCGGCUUACUGGGCCUUUACUGACGCUGAGGCACGAAAGCGUGGGGAGCAAACAGGAUUAGAUACCCUGGUAGUCCACGCUGUAAACGAUGAUGACUAGGUGUGGGGGGACUGAACCCUUCCGUGCCGCAGUUAACACAAUAAGUCAUCCACCUGGGGAGUACGACCGCAAGGUUGAAACUCAAAGGAAUUGACGGGG